rnacentral:lncRNA from 10 species
UUUUAAAAGCAAGCCGAACGUCACACAUGGAGAGAUGACUGAGAUGAAAGGACAGCAGGAUAAGUUAGAGGAAAGUUGGAUGAUAUCAAAAAGGAUUGCAGGAAAACUAAAAUUCAAGAAUAGCAUUAAAAUCCAUUUUGGAGGAUGACCUUUAAAAAAGCUUGCCUGGAAUGUGACAAAAAAGAACAGAGUAACAGACGAAGAGGAUCAUAGCAGGCAGAGAACACAAAGCUGGGUCAGAGACACAGUGGAAAUAUCCUUUCUCCCUUUUCUUUUCUUGACAUUAUUUUGGUUUUGUUAGAGGUGAGGCUGGUGUUAGAGAGGCCAAAUUUUGACGAUGAUGAAAAAGCCGAGGGCACUGGGGGGUUUGGGCUCCAACAUCCUUAUUCCACUGAACCACGACCCUCAACUGCCUAUCCCUAGACAUUUCAUUAUGUGAGCAAAAUAAACACCUAUUUUAAGUCA